AUGGCUGUCGUCAGCUCGUGCCGUGAGGUGUUGGGUUAAGUCCCGCAACGAGCGCAACCCUUAUCACUAGUUGCCAGCACGUAAUGGUGGGAACUCUAGUGAGACUGCCCGGGUUAACCGGGAGGAAGGUGAGGAUGACGUCAAGUCCGCAUGGCCCUUAUGUUUGGGGCUACACACGUGCUACAAUGGUCGGUACAGAAGGCAGCGAAAUCGCGAGGUGGAGCAAAUCCCCAAAGCCGACCUCAGUUCAGAUUGUAGUCUGCAACUCGACUACAUGAAGUUGGAAUUGCUAGUAAUGGCGUGUCAGCAACAGCGCCGUGAAUACGUUCCCGGGUCUUGUACACACCGCCCGUCACAUCAUGGGAGUUGGUUUUACCCGAAGUCACUGACUCAACCGCAAGGGGAGAGGUGCCGAAGGUAAGGCUGAUGACUGGGAUGAAGUCGUAACAAGGUAGCCCUACCGGAAGGUGGGGCUGGAUCACCUCCUUUUAAGGACAGGAAAGAGAGCAAUCUCUAACCUAGGUUGGGCAAGCACAUUAUGGCCUCACACUUUACCUUCUUAUCGCUGUCAAGAAAGCAGCUAUCUCGAUAAACCUAUCUCAGAAGUCGUGAUUUAACAAAUCACGCAAAAACAUAUUAACAAAUACAAGUAAAGUAAGUUGUAAGUUGUAAGUGUAAUUCACUAACUACAAGCGACGCUUGAAGAAUCAAUAUUGUUUACCAUCAUCAUACAAAAGACACCAAGCAAGCUUGUCCUAAUUUUUUUUUGGUCAAGCUAUUAAGGGCUGUCGGUGGAUGCCUAGGCAUCAACAGGCGAAGAGGGACGCACAUACCGGCGAUACGCUACGGUGAGCUGGAAAGAAGCUUUGACCCGUAGAAUUCCGAAUGGGGAAACCCGG
rnacentral:sRNA from 1 species